AGUUAAACUUACCACUUCAGGCCACUAUUGACUCCCACCGACAAUGACACUAGUCUAACCUGAACGAACCGAGACCUAACCUAAUGUGAUCCUAACCCACAUAUAAGACUCUGACCGGCCUAAGAGGACUCAACUCUUCUUUUCUCUUCCACGAUGACCAACUAUGGUCAUAUCUACGCAAGGUGAUGAACCCAGAAGAACAAGGAGAGAGAGAGCUCUGUAUUACUUUCUUUAGGAAAAAAAUGAGAGAGGAAGCUUGGUUUCCAAUGGAAAAAAACUUGAAAUGAUGCAUUCUAUUCUCUUUUUCGAAUGAUGGGGACCGAUUGUUAAGGUUAGGGUUAUCUCCCAUAUUAGUUUAGGAUGUGGUCUAAUUAGGAUUCAAGUUUGGGUGAUGGACAUGUGUAUUGUAAUGGUGGGUUAAGUGUAAAUGGGUAAUGAUAUGUAUAAAUGGACAUGGACAUAUUUUUGGUUUAAUUUAAAUGGUUUAUUUAUUUUGGAUUUAGGUAUUUUAUUUUGGGUUAACCAUGUAAUGAAUUGGGCAUUUGGAUUUAAUAGACUGGUUGAUGAA